rnacentral:rRNA from 1 species
GACAGAGGGUGCAAACGUUGUUCGGAAUUACUGGGCGUAAAGCGUGUGUAGGCGGCUAUGUAAGUCGGAUGUGAAAGCCCCGGGCUCAACCCUGGAAUAGCCUUCGAUACUGGAUGUCUUGAGUUCGGGAGAGGUGAGUGGAACUCCGAGUGUAGAGGUGAAAUUCGUAGAUAUUCGGAAGAACACCAGUGGCGAAGGCGACUCACUGGCCCGAUACUGACGCUGAGGCGCGAAAGCGUGGGGAGCAAACAGG